UCUUAAGGAUGAGCGAAGAAAACAGUUUCUUGAGAUGGAAUCUACUUCUAUUGAGGAUGCUAUGAA
rnacentral:pre_miRNA from 1 species